GACAUUGCUAUUGCUGCAUUUGAGUAGCAUAGUGUAGAAAAGGAUGUAGCAGAACAGAUUAAGAAGGACUUCAACAAGAAGUAUGACCCUACUUGGCAUUGCAUUGUUGGAAAAAACUUUGGUUCUUAUGUGACUCAUGAGACGAACCACUUUGUAUACUUCUAUUUGGAUUCAAAAGUUGCACUCCUAUUCAAAUCUGGUUGAGCUCGGUGGUGACAUUGAUGGGGAUGCGGAUGACGAUGAUGAUGUUACAAUGUUUGAAAAUUCCUAUCUACAAAGAUCUUGUGGAAAAUUCACAUACAUGUACAUUUUCUCUUACCUUCUGUAAGCAUUUUUGAUUCAUUCUUCCCUUGCUUCUUGCUAGCUCGAGUGGGAGAGAAAAUAUGACUUUAAUGAGUGGUAUGAAAAGACGUCCUUACUAUAAAAGAGUGGAGUGGGAUGUGUUUUUAUAGGAUUAUUAUAUCUUUUGUGUUUACGUUAACCCAAUAAAUAUUGUUAAAGUUUGAAUAUAGUUUACCCAACUACGUUGUUAAAUAUGUGUUCAGUCGACACAAUUUGACUAUAGGUUAGGUGGUCAAAUGGUUAUUGUCUUAGUUUAGGUGGUUCGAUAAAAUAUUCAGACAAGUUUUACGGGGCUAUUUAUGAAUUUGGCCUAUUAAUUGAC